rnacentral:rRNA from 1 species
GACAGAGGGUGCAAACGUUGUUCGGAAUUACUGGGCGUAAAGCGCGUGUAGGCGGCAGGGCAUGUCGGAUGUGAAAUCCCGUGGCUCAACCACGGAAGUGCACCCGAAACUGCCCAGCUUGAGUCUCGGAGAGGAAGGCGGAAUGCUUGGUGUAGAGGUGAAAUUCGUAGAUAUCAAGCGGAACACCGGUGGCGAAGGCGGCCUUCGUGGACGAUGACUGACGCUGAGACGCGAAAGCAUGGGGAGCGAACAGG